AAAGCCAAUGAUUAGAGGCA
rnacentral:snRNA from 1 species